AGUGAACGCUGGCGGCAGGCCUAACACAUGCAAGUCGAACGGCAACACAGUAAGAGCUUGCUCUUACGGGUGGCGAGUGGCGGACGGGUGAGGAAUAAAUCGGAAUCGACUUUUUCGGGGGGGAUAACGUAGGGAAAGUUACGCUAAUACCUCAUACGUCCUACGGGUGAAAGCAGGGGAUCUUCGGACCUUGCGUGAUUGAAUGAGCCGAUGUCGGAUCAGCUAGUUGGCGGGGUAAAGGCCCACCAAGGCGACGAUCCGUAGCUGGUCUGAGAGGGUGAUCGGCCACACUGGAACUGAGACACGGUCCAGACUCCUACGGGAGGCAGCAGUGGGGAAUAUUGGACAAUGGGCGCAAGCCUGAUCCAGCCACACCGCGUGGGUGAAGAAGGCCUUCGGGUUGUAAAGCCCUUUUGUUGGGAAAGAAAAGCAGCAGGUUAAUACCCCGCUGUUCUGACGGUACCCAAAGAAUAAGCACCGGCUAACUUCGUG
rnacentral:rRNA from 1 species